GACGAACGCUGGCGGCGUGCUUAACACAUGCAAGUCGAGCGAUGAAGCACCUUCGGGUGUGAAUUAGCGGCGAACGGGUGAGGAACACGUGAAGAAUCUGCCUUCAACUCUGGGAUAACUCCGGGAAACCGGGGCUAAUACCGGGUAUGAGCCUUGAUCGCAUGAUCGGGGCUGGAAAGUUUUUCGGUUGAAGAUGACUUCGCGGCCUAUCAGCUUGUUGGUGAGGUAAUGGCUCACCAAGGCGACGACGGGUAGCCGGCCUGAGAGGGCGACCGGCCAUACUGGGACUGAGACACGGCCCAGACUCCUACGGGAGGCAGCAGUGGGGAAUAUUGCACAAUGGGCGCAAGCCUGAUGCAGCGACGCCGCGUGAGGGAUGACGGCCUUCGGGUUGUAAACCUCUUUCAGCACCGACGAAGCGCAAGUGACGGUAGGUGCAGAAGAAGGACCGGCCAACUACGUGCCAGCAGCCGCGGUAA
rnacentral:rRNA from 1 species